rnacentral:rRNA from 1 species
CUACGUGCCAGCAGCCGCGGUAAUACGUAGGUCCCGAGCGUUAUCCGGAUUUAUUGGGCGUAAAGCGAGCGCAGGCGGUUAGAUAAGUCUGAAGUUAAAGGCUGUGGCUUAACCAUAGUACGCUUUGGAAACUGUUCAACUUGAGUGCAAGAGGGGAGAGUGGAAUUCCAUGUGUAGCGGUGAAAUGCGUAGAUAUAUGGAGGAACACCGGUGGCGAAAGCGGCUCUCUGGCUUGUAACUGACGCUGAGGCUCGAAAGCGUGGGGAGCAAACAGGAUUAGAUACCCUGGUAGUCCACGCCGUAAACGAUGAGUGCUAGGUGUUAGACCCUUUCCGGGGUUUAGUGCCGUAGCUAACGCAUUAAGCACUCCGCCUGGGGAGUACGACCGCAAGGUUGAAACUCAAAGGAAUUGACGGGGGCCCGCACAAGCGGAGGAACAUGUGGUUUAAUUCGAUGAUACGCGAGGAACCUUACCCGGGCUUGAA